UUGAACGCUGGCGGCAGGCCUAACACAUGCAAGUCGAACGGUAACAGGAAGAAGCUUGCUUCUUUGCUGACGAGUGGCGGACGGGUGAGUAAUGUCUGGGAAACUGCCUGAUGGAGGGGGAUAACUACUGGAAACGGUAGCUAAUACCGCAUAACGUCGCAAGACCAAAAAGGGGGACCUUCGGGCCUCUUGCCAUCGGAUGUGCCCAGAUGGGAUUAGCUAGUAGGUGGGGUAACGGCUCACCUAGGCGACGAUCCCUAGCUGGUCUGAGAGGAUGACCAGCCACACUGGAACUGAGACACGGUUCAGACUCCUACGGGAGGCAGCAGUGGGGAAUAUUGCACAAUGGGCGCAAGCCUGAUGCAGCCAUGCCGCGUGUAUGAAGAAGGCCUUCGGGUUGUAAAGUACUUUCAGCGGGGAGGAAGGGAGUAAAGUUAAUACCUUUGCUCAUUGACGUUACCCGCAGAAGAAGCACCGGCUAACUCCGUG
rnacentral:rRNA from 1 species